rnacentral:lncRNA from 1 species
UCGGUGUCUAUUUCCUUAUUCGAUUUCCAUUUCCUAAUUCGAUUUUCAUUUCCUUAUUCGGUUUCUUUUUCCUUUUUCAAUAUUCAUUUCCUUUUUCGGUUUCUAUUUCCUUAUUCGGUUUCUAUUUCCUUAUUGGAUUUUCAUUUGCUUAUUCGAUUUCCAUUUCCUUAUUCGAUUUCUGUUUCCUUAUUCGGUUUCUAUUUCCAUAUUCGGUUUCUAUUUCCUUAGGUAGCAC